UCGAUUGCUUCGAGCUAAGCUAACCAAAACCCCUCUGAUUUCUGAUUUCAUUCCAUAUCCUCACCUGGGUUUUAUUCAUUUUCGUAGAAAUACAAUCACAUUUCAGAGAAGCCUAGCUUUUUACUGAAAAAAAAAAGUGCUUCUCCAAAUAUGAUUGUACCAGAUCCGGCCAAGAAAUCGAGAUGGAAUGAUAACUGUGAUUGCUUACUCCUGAAUUGUAAUAGGUUUGUUGUUGUAAGUGAGUUUUGAGAUAUACGCAGAUGUAUGUAUGUGUUUGUAUUCGGGCUCCUCAAAAGCCGAGAUCCAAAUUUACAGGUGUGGUUUAAAUUUUA